rnacentral:tRNA from 1 species
CGUGGUGGAGCGGUAUGGCGCCGGGCUCUGGUGCCAAGGGUCGCAAGUUGAAAUCCGG